rnacentral:rRNA from 1 species
GACGAACGCUGGCGGCGUGCUUAACACAUGCAAGUCGAACGAAGAGCGAUGGAAGCUUGCCUCUAUCAAUCUUAGUGGCGAACGGGUGAGUAACGCGUAAUCAACCUGCCCUUCAGAGGGGGACAACAGUUGGAAACGACUGCUAAUACCGCAUACGAUCUAAUCUCGGCAUCGAGGAUAGAUGAAAGGUGGCCUCUACAUGUAAGCUAUCACUGAAGGAGGGGAUUGCGUCUGAUUAGCUAGUUGGAGGGGUAACGGCCCACCAAGGCGAUGAUCAGUAGCCGGUCUGAGAGGAUGAACGGCCACAUUGGGACUGAGACACGGCCCAGACUCCUACGGGAGGCAGCAGGGGGGAAUCUUCCGAAAUGGACGAAAGUCUGACGGAGCAACGCCGCGUGAGCGAUGACGGCCUUCGGGUUGUAAAGCUCUGUUAAUCGGGACGAAAGGCCUUCUUGCGAAUAGUGAGAAGGAUUGACGGUACCGGAAUAGAAAGCCACGGCUAACUACGUG